rnacentral:lncRNA from 1 species
UAAUAAUAAUCCCAUCAAUUAAUUUAUCAAAUAAAUUUAAUUUAUCAUCAUCAAAUAAUAUUUAGAGCAUGAAUUUUCAAAUUUACCCUUUGACCGUUAGAAUAAACGGUCAAAUUAACGGAUUUAGAUGUGAAUUGAGCAUUGUUGAAACAUUUAGGUGAGCGGUGGAAUAUGUUGAAACAUUUGGGGGCAUGGCGGAAUUAACCCUUUUUUAAUAAAAAAAUACCGAAUAGUUUAAUCCAAAUUCAACCGAACCAUUCGGUUCGAAUUUCGGUUCAGAAUUUCAUAAUCAGAACCGAACCGAAAGCUAGUGGUAUUUUUGUAAUUUUGAAAUAAUAAUUAUGCGAACCCUAAUAUCGACACCCGAAUUGCUGCUGCUGCCGAUUACAAAACCUUUGCUACUUCGUUCUGGCUUUGCCGCUUUACUGCCGCCUGCCUUCUUUCUUUGCUUCCUUCUGGGUUCUCGAUCUAGCAGCCAUCGCUGCUUCCUUCAAGUUUGAAAGCGUCUCCAGUCCACGGUUGCUGCCGCUGCCGUUUCCUUCUGACUUCAAAAUCCAGCAGCCACUACUGCCGUGGUGCAUGGUGGUGGUGAGAGAGGAAGCUCAGGGGAUCAAUUUAGAUAGUGGAAAGACGGAGGAGAAGGUUGUUGACUCUGCUGUGGUCACUGGUCACCGAGCUCUCUAAGCCCUUCACCGUGUAUUGCAGCCUACAAUUUGCAGGUAAUCUAAGCCCCUCACCGAGUGACUGUGCUGACUCUAAUGCUUUUCUUUUAUUCUAUAUUUGUUGCCGACUUGCCAUAAAAUUACUUUCUGUUGCAUGUUUUGGACCCUCGUGAUGUUAGUUUGAAGCAUUCCUUUUAUCAAUUUCUUAUUAAAAUUACGAAAUUGAACUAUGUUCUCAAGUUAUUGUAGAAAUGUGUCACUGCCAAGCUGGGUUAGAAUAUUUCUCUUUAUUUGCAAAAGAGAUAUUAUUAUUUUGCCACUAAAGUUAUUCUGACACAUCAUGUCAGUACCAUGGUUUGGUAAAACUAUCAUUUUAUCACCAAAUAUUUAAACUGUUAGCAUUUUUCUACCAUUCCAUUAAUUAAAUAAAAUUAUGCUGACAUCAUAAGGGCAUUUUGGACAUCUCACGCGAAGUCAAAACGUUGCGUUUUGCAAUUGUAAAAAAACAAGCAAUUUAGACAUGGAAGCCAUAAAAAUCGAAAUCAACCCCCCUCUCUCUUGUGUCUUGUUCCAUCUCCACCCUCUCUCGCUCACUGUCAUUGACCCAUAUCUCUCUCACUCUCGCAGCAGUGUCGUCUUUUGGAGGUAAUUUUGUAAUUAAAUCGUCCCUUGUUGUUCUUCCUUUUUAAAGGGUACAAUCGUCUUGUCGUCUUUUGGAGGUAAUUUUGUAAUUAAAUUGUCUUUUGUUGUUCUUCCCUUUUAAAGGGUAAAAUCGUCUUUUACGCUACAGGGGUAAAAUUGAUUUUUUAUAUAUUUUUUGUUAAAUAUUAACUGAAUUUUAACGGAAUGGUGAGAAAAUGCUAACAAUUUAAACGUUUAGUGGUAAAAUGAUGUUUUUACCAAACCGUGGUACUGACAUGAUGUGUCAGAAUAACUUUGGUGGAAAAAUGAUAAUAUCCCUUUGCAAAAGAACGGAAUCUCAGGUGAUUUUGAAUUUUGGAACCCAAAUUUCAAAUAAAUAAACAAUAGGAUUCAGAAUAUUGGAAGAACCUUGGAAACUUGUUGCUAAUUGAUUUGAAGAAUAUUAACAUUUAGAAGAAUAUCAUAAUUUUGUAUUUUAUUGAACUUUUGAUUAAUAAAGUUAAAAUUUUAUUUUUAGAAUAUUGGAGUUCAUUCUAUUAAUAUAUCAAAAUCUAAUUCACUGAGCAACAUGAUUUUAUUUUUGGGUUUGUACACACUCGUUACACAAAUUUGAGCUCCAUUAUGCAUGGAGAAUAUAUAUAAUCUACUUGCUGUAAAUUUUUUAUGUAUAUUUUUUCUUCGCAUAUAAAGUGUGUAUGAUUUUGUUCUGUGCAGUCAAUGAAAAUAAAAAUAGUGAAAAAAUAAAUAUAUGUUUUUGCAGAGAGUAGAUUCUCCCAGCUUUAAUUGAUUCAUAUAUUAUCUUGAAUGAUUUUUAGUUCUUCCUGUUGGCCCUUUUGGUUUUGCCUGCACAAGAUCAUAAUGCUGGGGGAAUCUACUCUCUGCAAAAACAUAUAUUUAUUUUUUCACUAUUUUUAUUUGCAGAGAGUAGAUUCCCCCAGCUUUAAUUGAUUCAUAUAUUAUCUUGAAUGAUUUUUAGUUCUUCCUGUUGGCCCUUUUGGUUUUGCCUGCACAAGAUCAUAACGCUCUUAAAUCUGCAAUAUCUACUUGGUAUGAUUAUGUUCCGUUAAAAUUUUAUUAUAUGUUCCAUUAAAAAUUAUGUUUACUUAUUUCAAUUUUACUUGUGUAGAUUUAAGUCGUUUAUCCGAAUCGUUAAGCGAAUCGAAACCGAACCGUUAAGGUGAACCAAUACCAAACUAAAAUCGAAUUGAACCGAAUUUGUCAGUUCUGGUUUGGUUUUCAUUUUUCGUAAAUGUCUUAUCGGUUUUUUUAAUCCCCAACCCAAAAUGAAUUGAAAAUUUCGCUUUAUCCCAAAAUUGAACCAAGCCAAAUUGAUGCUCACCCCUAAUAAUAAUAAUAAGAAGAAGAAGAUCAUUGUCUUUCGCUAAGUGGCCAAGCUAUUGUGUGGGCAGCAGUUUGAGCUCCCAUAAAGCAUUGUGGGAGCUAAAUUCCUUCCUCAAUUAUACCAAACAAUUAAGUGGAUAUAUUCUUCUCCCUCACGAAAUGUGAAUGGGGUGGAUCAUUAAAUCCCACAAUCAUGCCCAUUCCUUUGCUUCGACACUCAAUGCCACGGUUGAUUGGAAAGUGUAGGAAGUUCAUGUGUUCUAUAUUGGUUGGCAUUUAGGGUUGGAGAAUCAAAUUUGGAGAAUGUAGCUAUUGGAAAUAUCGAAAACAAUGCCGAUUAUGGAUGUGAAUAUAACACAAUAUAGACGAAUGAUAAAAUGAACUAGACUAUUUGAUAUGACGUGAGUUACAUAAAACACGUAGGGCAUGAUCGUGUCGUUUUCUAUUAUUGCGGGGACUUAGAAGAGGAUCAUGUAUCUCAGUACUUUUAUCUCUUAAGAGUCGUGAUCAGAAGAAACCAAUGAGAUGAUUCAUCAUUUAUUGGAAAGUAAAUCUAUUAUAAUAGUUGUGAAUGUUUUAGAACAACUACACCACUAUAAAUUGUAAUAAUUAAAGGGUUGAAAAAAUAACCUUUUGACACUUAGGCAGAGCUCUUGUGAAAAAUAUAAUUUUUUUUCAAUUCUAGCGCUCAUGUGAAACAAUCCACGUUGGCUCUAAUCGUAAGAACUUAUUGCUACACAAAAUCAAGCCAUAAAUGUGAGCAAAUUAUCACUACUUAAACAAAACAAAAAAAAAAUGCAAAAAUUACCAGAGAUACUUUUAAAAUAUCUGGUUAGUAAAUACUAGUUGAUUGACAAAUUUUUUUCUAUUGCCUGCUCAAUAAAAGUUAGGUAAUACGCUUUCAUGGAAAUAACCUAAACAUGAUCAAAUGAUUAAGAGAUUUAAUAUAGGACAAACAUAUAGUGUGACAUGAAUGAAUUUUAAAAUCUCUCCACGUAGAUAUCCCUCGGGCAAAAGGCUCUAUAAAAAGUGUCGAUUUACAAGUUCACCGCAAGUAGAGAAAUGGGCAAUACUUUUGAGUAAUAAUUAAAAAAACUAUUUAAACCUAAUUUAAUGUAAAAGUACAAAAUUUAUUAGAUAAUUUCACACUUACCUUCCCUGAGCAUUUUUAUUAAAAGCAUAUUGAAUAAGCUUCAAAUGAUUAAGAGUAACAAGAUUGUUCACCUGAAACGGAACAGCUUUGUACUUGAGAUUUGCUUCCUGUGACGCCUGAUCGUAGGGUUAAAGUUGAUAUUGGCCUAGUCUACGAUUUCUAAUUCCUCCCAUUGACAGUACACUGACACUAGUUGAUGUCUGAGGUUCUUGUCUAAGGUCAACUAAUUCAUCUGUAUCUUAUAUAAAAUUAAUUUGAAAUUAAAAUCAUUCAUUAUUGAAUAUGAUCAUGGAAAUGAAGCUUACAAAAUGAGAUUUAAAAACUCUUACCUCAUCUUGGAGAACAGGUGGUGGAAUGGGGGCAUAACUUCCUACAAACUAGGAGGGGUCUUAAAGAAUUUCACCUACUGCCUCACUUGUCCUAGUCCAGGCCAUCAGUUUAUCGAGAUUCAAUAUGCACUCCACAAAGUCCUCAUUACUGGUCAUAGGCAUUUAGUUUUUCCCAUCUAUGGUUGGUUGGGUUUUCCAAUUGGACAUGUAGAUUUUAAACUUUUGAAGGUCGGAGAUGACGAUGGAUCAAAUGGUUAUUUUUAUGGUGCCCUAACAGGAUAGUUUGAUUUCAAUUCAUCCUCCAAAGACUUCUUAACCUUUUUCCAUUCUCAUAUUAAUUGAAUCUAUUUUGUGUUCAAUUCUUUAGACUGACUCUGUAAGAUCCUAAAGGCCAUUUC